UGUAGUGGCGACAGCGGGUUUCCUCUCAAAAUCUGUGCAGUCUUUAACCAUGUCUGAUGCCAUAUAACCGUAAAUAAAAUGUGUUGAGUGUGUCGUUAAAUAAAACUUUUUAUUUUUUUCUCCCAGUCAUGGUUUUCAAACUGGUGAUUAAAGGUGUAUAAUUUACUAUUUGGAAACUUUCUACAGCCAAAUAUUUUUUCUUUUAAAACCUUUCUUUCAUUCCAUAAACUUUGUGUGUAUGUUGGUCAUUAUUUAAAUGAGUAUGGCGAUUAAAAAUGUACAGUGUGCUAUUUGGAAAACCUCUUGUCACACCCACUCCCAGUUUCUUUUUUUCAUUCCUAUGUAUGAUAAUAUUUUCAUAUAUUUACCAUUUAUGACACCCAAUAGCUAAUGUGUAUUUUUGUGCUGGGGUGUCGUUAAACAUUCAUUCAUUCAUUCCUAUUUGUGCAUUGAUUUUUAUUCAGUUUUAUCUCAAAGAUGUUGGGCUGAAUUUACAAAGUGUCUUACUCGUGUGUAAAUAUGUACAGCUAUAUGAACCCUGCUUGAAUACACUAAAAGCAAACAAGCUGUGUACGUUUGGCCCAUGGUGGGUAAAGAUUAUAACAUCCCUUCCCGUUCAGCACCACUAAAUAUUUCACUUUAUUACACCACAGUGAGAUUGGUGUAAUAUUUCACUUUAUUACACCACAGUGAGAGGUCAGUGUAAUAUUUCACUUUAUUACACCACAGUGAGAGAGGUCAGUGUAAUAUUUCACUUUAUUACACCACAGUGAGAGGUCAGUGUAAUAUUUCACUUUAUUACACCACAGUGAGAGGUCAGUGUAAUAUUUCACUUUAUUACACCACAGUGAGAGGUCAGUGUAAUAUUUCACUUUAUUACACCACAGUGAGAGAGGUCAGUGUAAUAUUUCACUUUAUUACACCACAGUGAGAGGUCAGUGUAAUAUUUCACUUUAUUACACCACAGUGAGAGGUCAGUGUAAUAUUUCACUUUAUUACACCACAGUGAGAGAGGUCAGUGUAAUAUUUCACUUUAUUACACCACAGUGAGAGAGGUCAGUGUAAUAUUUCACUUUAUUACACCACAGUGAGAGAGGUCAGUGUAAUAUUUCACUUUAUUACACCACAGUGAGAGAGGUCAGUGUAAUAUUUCACUUUAUUACACCACAGUGAGAGGUGUCAGUGUAAUAGCAUUUCCCUUCCAUCAGAUUUUGACAAAUGAUUCAAUAAAUGAUGUCAUGAUGACAAGUGAUCUUAGAGUUAUCUUUGUGAUUUCCCACGACUGUUUGGCCAAAAAACUAAAUGCAGUCAUGCACUUAUAAACAAUUGCCAAAUGUUUGACAUGCAAUAAAUCAAUGUGCUCUAGUGAUGUUGUUAAAUAAAAUAAACUUUUUGUCUUAAAAGGUAGAUUUUCCCUUAUUCAGUAAUGUACAGUGUUUUUGACAAUUUGCAACUUUGAUCCAUUUUAUUACUGUAUGAUGUGUCUUACAUUAAUAUUAAUUUCUGUAAUGUGUUUCCAUAAUCAUAUUUAUUUGUAUAAGAAUUAAAAUGUUUUCAACAUCACAUAAUAUGCAGUGUUUUAUCCAUCCAGAUGUUUAGAGAGAAAUCUUGUGAUUGGUACUGUAUAUAUUUGUUCCAAUACAAGAUUCAGGUUCAUUAGAUUCGAGGAGAUACAUGUAAGUCUGUAUUAUUGUUUAGUUUCCAUGAUUUUAGCCGUGUUUGUUACAUUUUUGCUUGUAGAGGAAUUGCGGCUUUAAGAAUUGUAUUGAAACUGAAAAUAUUCACUUAGAAGUGCAUACUUUGUAACUAGAGCUUGCUUUCCAUUAAAAUGAUUCCAUGUGCAGAUCCGCGCAUGAAAAUAUGCAUUUCCAUAUUAUGUAUCAGGCGUCUGAUUUUGACAAUUACCUUCUCAAUCAAACUGACAGCAAACAUUUGUAUAAUAUAAUGUUGCAUGCUAAAAGAUCACCCACUGAUCAACCCACCCCUCGCCCCCUAAUUUUGAAAACCUGCUUGUGGAGAGGGUACCGUGUAUAUGCGCUAUAUCUAUAAACGUGCAAGCAGAAUCACAUUAUUGGAAGCAAGGCUUUGUGGCAGCACUUAGCAACUGGUUUAUCAAAAAAUAUAUUUAUUAAUAAUUUUGUUUAUACAUGUAGUCUUGAAUAUGUUUAUAAUAUUGUUUGUGUAAAGUUCACUGACAUAAGUAAUAAUACUUUCAGCUAUUGGUUGACUUUUGACAGAUAAUUACCAUAUUUUGGAUAAUUACCAUAUUCAGUUUACUUGAAAGUAGAUAAUAUGAAGUAGACUUAACAAAUGUCCCAACAAAAUAUUUUCUGAAAUUACAGUAGAUACAUUUAAUUUUCCCCAAAAUGUUAUUCAACCAUCUAAUAUAUAGUUGUCAUAUCCCACUUGUUUAUACCCUGCAGCACAAUUUGGAGAUGGGGGGGGGGGGGGGGGGGGGUAUUAAAAUGGGAACCAUCCAGCAGUCGGUUUAAAUCUGUCUGUCCAGUCGUGUUUCUGGAGCACCAGUCCAAAACUGUUCAAGAUAACUCCUUGGAAUGUAAUUAAACUGUUCCAGAUAACUCCUUGCAAUGUUAUUAAACUGUUCCAGAUAACUCCUUGGAAUGUUAUUAAACUGUUCGAGAUAACUCCUUGGAAUGUUAUUAAACUGUUCGAGAUAACUCCUUGCAGUGUUAUUAAACUGUUCGAGAUAACUCCUUGGAAUGUUAUUAAACUGUUCGAGAUAACUCCUUGGAAUGUUAUUAAACUGUUCGAGAUAACUCCUUGCAAUGUUAUUAAACUGUUCAAGAUAACUCCUUGCAAUGUUAUUAAACAUGUCUUUUGCUAUGAAGGACUUCUUUAUUUCUGAUACUUUUUCUGUUAUCAUGAUAACAAAUAGCCAGAAUGACCAAAUUCACAGUUUCCACGGUACAACUCCAAAAGCAUUCAAGAUAACUUUGUUAAAGAUUGUUUUUAGUAGUAAAUACUUGUAGUGAGGGAGUUUUUCUUAUAUAAUUGAAUUUGAUGACUGGGUAUAUGUAUUACUUGUAUUUUUAUAAUUCAUUAAACUGAUUAUAGCUUAAAAUAGAUACAGUCUGUAAUCAUAGACAAUGGUUUGUUUCAUCUUGCUUAUUCAUGAAUUGAUAAAUGGAGUUUGUGUCCAUAGAAAUAAAUGUAUUUUAAUAUUA